rnacentral:lncRNA from 1 species
CUCAAAUCCUUCUUGGGGGUCAGCAAGAAGAGUCUUACAGAUGACAAAGAAGAAAAUAGGAGUCAAUGAGACACACAAUGGGAGCCCUGCUGGCUGAAUUCCUGGUGGUUUUGAUGCCUGGUUCACAGCCUUGGCUCGUGAGGUGCUGCAACAGGGAGGCUGAUCUCCAGCCCCAUAAACCUUCGAAGCUAACCUUGCAGCUGCAUCCUGCUAGGCUCUCCCACACAGGAACAGCUUCAGUGAGAUGCACAUCUGCAGGGAUGCUUCCAGGUGUGCUGUGA